GACGAACGCUGGCGGCGUGCCUAAUACAUGCAAGUCGAACGAGAGCGAACGGUGCUUGCACUGGUCAAUCUAGUGGCGAACGGGUGAGUAACACGUGGGUAACCUGCCCAUCAGAGGGGGAUAACAUUCGGAAACGGAUGCUAAAACCGCAUAGGUCUUCGAACCGCAUGGUUUGAAGAGGAAAAGAGGCGCAAGCUUCUGCUGAUGGAUGGACCCGCGGUGCAUUAGCUAGUUGGUGAGGUAACGGCUCACCAAGGCCGUGAUGCAUAGCCGACCUGAGAGGGUGAUCGGCCACAUUGGGACUGAGACACGGCCCAAACUCCUACGGGAGGCAGCAGUAGGGAAUCUUCCGCAAUGGACGCAAGUCUGACGGAGCAACGCCGCGUGAGUGAAGAAGGUUUUCGGAUCGUAAAACUCUGUUGUUAGAGAAGAACAAGUGCUAGAGUAACUGUUAGCGCCUUGACGGUAUCUAACCAGAAAGCCACGGCUAACUACGUG
rnacentral:rRNA from 1 species